UCGGUGUAGGAUGAGACUAUAUAGUAUCAGCUAGUUGGUGAGGUAAUGGCUCACCAAGGCUAUGACGCUUAACUGGUCUGAGAGGAUGAUCAGUCACACUGGAACUGAGACACGGUCCAGACUCCUACGGGAGGCAGCAGUAGGGAAUAUUGCGCAAUGGGGGAAACCCUGACGCAGCAACGCCGCGUGGAGGAUGACACUUUUCGGAGCGUAAACUCCUUUUCUUAGGGAAGAAUUCUGACGGUACCUAAGGAAUAAGCACCGGCUAACUCCGUGCCAGCAGCCGCGGUAAUACGGAGGGUGCAAGCGUUACUCGGAAUCACUGGGCGUAAAGGGCGCGUAGGCGGAUUAUCAAGUCUCUUGUGAAAUCCAACGGCUUAACCGUUGAACUGCUUGGGAAACUGGUAAUCUAGAGUGGGGGAGAGGCAGAUGGAAUUGGUGGUGUAGGGGUAAAAUCCGUAGAUAUCACCAAGAAUACCCAUUGCGAAGGCGAUCUGCUGGAACUUAACUGACGCUAAGGCGCGAAAGCGUGGGGAGCAAACAGGAUUAGAUACCCUGGUAGUCCACGCCCUAAACGAUGUAUGCUAGUUGUUGGGGUGCUAGUCAUCUCAGUAAUGCAGCUAACGCAUUAAGCAUACCGCCUGGGGAGUACGGUCGCAAGAUUAAAACUCAAAGGAAUAGACGGGGACCCGCACAAGCGGUGGAGCAUGUGGUUUAAUUCGAAGAUACGCGAAGAACCUUACCUGGGCUUGAUAUCCUAAGAACCUUAUAGAGAUAUGAGGGUGCUAGCUUGCUAGAACUUAGAGACAGGUGCUGCACGGCUGUCGUCAGCUCGUGUCGUGAGAUGUUGGGUUAAGUCCCGCAACGAGCGCAACCCACGUAUUUAGUUGCUAACACUUCGGGUGAGCACUCUAAAUAGACUGCCUUCGUAAGGAGGAGGAAGGUGUGGACGACGUCAAGUCAUCAUGGCCCUUAUGCCCAGGGCGACACACGUGCUACAAUGGCAUAUACAAUGAGACGCAAUACCGCGAGGUGGAGCAAAUCUAUAAAAUAUGUCCCAGUUCGGAUUGUUCUCUGCAACUCGAGAGCAUGAAGCCGGAAUCGCUAGUAAUCGUAGAUCAGCCAUGCUACGGUGAAUACGUUCCCGGGUCUUGUACUCACCGCCCGUCACACCAUGGGAGUUGAUUUCACUCGAAGCCGGAAUACUAAACUAGUUACCGUCCACAGUGGAAUCAGCGACUGGGGUGAAGUCGUAACAAGGUAACCGUAGGAGAACCUGCGGUUGGAUCACCUCCUUUCUA
rnacentral:rRNA from 1 species